CGUUUUGCAAAUUCGCAGGCC
rnacentral:miRNA from 1 species